rnacentral:rRNA from 1 species
AUUGAACGCUGGCGGCAGGCCUAACACAUGCAAGUCGAACGUGUCGCGGACGGGUGAGUAAUGUCUGGGAACCUGCCCGAUGUAGGGGGUUAACUACUGGAAACGGUAGCUAAUACCGCAUACCAUCGGGUGUGGCCAGAUGGGAUUAGCUAGUAGGUGGGGUGACGGCUCACCUAGGCGACGGUCCGUAGCGGGUCUGAGGGGAUGAACAGCGACCGUGGACCUGGGAAACGGUCCACACUCCAGAGGGAGGCAGCAGUGGGGAAUAGGGCACAAUGGGCGCAAGGCUGAUGCAUGAAUGCGGGGUGUAUGAUGAAGGCUGUCGGGUUGUAAGGUACUAUCAGCGAUGAGUCGGUAGGUGGAGAAGAAGCGCCGGCUAACUCCGUGCCAGCAGCCGCGGUAAUUC